UACGUAGGGGGCGAGCGUUGUCCGGAAUCAUUGGGCGUAAAGCGCGUGUAGGCGGCUCGUUAAGUCCGGUGUGAAACCUUGGGGCUCAACCCCAAGCCUGCACUGGAUACUGACGAGCUCGAGUCCGGGAGGGGAGAGCGGAAUUCCUGGUGUAGCGGUGAAAUGCGCAGAUAUCAGGAGGAACACCGAUGGCGAAGGCAGUGGGCUGGGCCGGCACUGACGCUGAGGAGCGAAAGCGUGGGGAGCGAACAGG
rnacentral:rRNA from 1 species